CGGGGAUUAGCUCAGUUGGCUAGAGCGCACGGUUCGGGACCGUGAGGUCGGCGGUUCAAGUCCGCCAUCCCCGACCA
rnacentral:tRNA from 1 species